rnacentral:rRNA from 1 species
AGUGUAGGCGGCUAUUUAAGUCGGAUGUGAAAGCCCCGGGCUCAACCUGGGAAUUGCAUUCGAAACUGAAUAGCUAGAGUUUGGUAGAGGUAAGUGGAAUUCCGGGUGUAGCGGUGAAAUGCGUAGAUAUCCGGAGGAACAUCAGUGGCGAAGGCGGCUUACUGGACCAAAACUGACGCUGAGGCUCGAAAGCGUGGGGAGCAAACAGGAUUAGAUACCCUGGUAGUCC